AUUAAGCCAUGCACGUCUAAGUACAAGCUUCUCAGAAGGCGAAACCGCGAACGGUAUAAAUCAGUUGUGGUUCUGUUUGAUGGUGACCCUAGUUGGACAACUGUGGCAAUUCUAGAGCUAAUACAUGCAAAUUAAGCUCCGACCUUCGGGGACGAGCGCUUUUAUUAGACCAAAACCAACCGUUGGCCUCGUGCCGGCGUUGAAUUAUGGUGACUCUGGAUGACACAUGUGGAUCGCAAGGCUUACCCAAGCAGGCGACAGAUCUUUUUCGAACGUCUGCCCUAUCAAGUCUCGACGGUUGUAGAGGGGCCAACCGUGCUGAUAACGGGUGACGGGGAAUCAGGGUUCGAUUCCGGAGAGGGAGCCUGAGAAACGGCUACCACUUCCAAGGAAGGCAGCAGGCGCGCAAAUUACCCACUCCUAGCCCAGGGAGGUAGUGACGAAAAAUAACAAUGCUGGUCUCUCACGAGGCCCAGUAAUUGGAAUGAGUACACUUUAAAGACUUUAACCAGGACCUAUUGGAGGGCAAGUCUGGUGCCAGCAGCCGCGGUAAUUCCAGCUCCAAUGGCGUAUACUAAAGUUGUUGCAGUUAAAAAGCUCGUAGUUGGAUCUCGGGGAGCGAGCGUCGGUCCUCUUCGCGGAGGCUUACUGGCGCUCACGCUCUCAUCACUUGCGCAGUCCCGGCCCGGGUGCCCUUGAUUGGGUGCCCGUCGCCGCUGCGACGUUUACUUUGAAAAAAUUAGAGUGUUCAAAGCAGGCCCGUCGAGCCUGGAUAGUCAUGCAUGGAAUAAUGGAAGAGGGCCUCGAAGCUGAGUUUGUUGGCCUGUUGAGAUGUCGAGGCAAUGACUAAGAGGGACGAUCGGGGACAUUUAUAUUGCGCCAGGAGAGGUGAAAUUCUUGGAUUGGCGCAAGAUAAACUGGAGCGAAGGCGUUUGUCAAGCACGUCUUCCUUAAUCAAGAGCGACAGUCAGAGGCUCGAAGACGAUCAGAUACCGUCGUAGUUCUGACCGUAAACGCUGCCAGCUAGGGAUUCGCUGUGGUUGCUAAGAUAGACCCUGCGAGGACCUUCCCCGGAAACGAAAGCUUUCGGGUUCCGGGGGUAGUAUGGUUGCAAAGCUGAAACUUAAAGGAAUUGACGGAAGGGCACCACCAGGAGUGGAGCCUGCGGCUUAUUUGACUCAACACGGGGAAUCUCACCCGGCCCGGACACCGUGAGGAUUGACAGAUUGAGAGCUCUUUCUUGAUUCGGUGGGUGGUGGUGCAUGGCCGUUCUUAGUUGGUGGAGUGAUUUGUCUGGUUAAUUCCGAUAACGAACGAGACUCUAGCCUAUUAACUAGCAAGCCCCCAACGUGUAAGGGGAGCGUUUGACUUCUUAGAGGGACAAGUGGCUUUCAGUCACACGAGAUUGAGCAAUAACAGGUCUGUGAUGCCCUUAGAUGUCCGGGGCCGCACGCGUGCUACACUGAAGGACUCAGCGUGUGCUCCUUGCCUGAAAAGGCUGGGCAACCCGUUGAACCUCCUUCGUGCUAGGGAUUGGAGCUUGAAAUUGUUCCCCAUGAACGAGGAAUUCCCAGUACGCGCCAGUCAUCAGCUGGCGUUGAUUACGUCCCUGCCCUUUGUACACACCGCCCGUCGCUACUACCGAUCGGAUGGUUUAGUGAGACCCUCGGACUGGUCCGUACGAGGCACCUCGGUGCUUCGUCUCGGUCGCCGGGAAGACGGUCAAACUUGACUAUCUAGAGGAAGUAAAAGUCGUAACAAGGUU
rnacentral:rRNA from 1 species